rnacentral:rRNA from 1 species
UACAGAGGGGGCGAGCGUUGUUCGGAAUUACUGGGCGUAAAGGGCGCGUAGGCGGCCCGCUAAGUCGAACGUGAAAUCCCCAGGCUCAACCUGGGAACUGCGUCCGAUACUGGCAGGCUUGAAUCCGGGAGAGGGAUGUGGAAUUCCAGGUGUAGCGGUGAAAUGCGUAGAUAUCUGGAGGAACACCGGUGGCGAAGGCGGCAUCCUGGACCGACACUGACGCUGAGGAGCGAAAGCCAGGGGAGCAAAGCGGG